rnacentral:rRNA from 1 species
AUUGAACGCUGGCGGCAGGCCUAACACAUGCAAGUCGAGCGGAUGAAGGGAGCUUGCUCCUGGAUUCAGCGGCGGACGGGUGAGUAAUGCCUAGGAAUCUGCCUGGUAGUGGGGGAUAACGUCCGGAAACGGGCGCUAAUACCGCAUACGUCCUGAGGGAGAAAGUGGGGGAUCUUCGGACCUCACGCUAUCAGAUGAGCCUAGGUCGGAUUAGCUAGUUGGUAGGGUAAAGGCCUACCAAGGCGACGAUCCGUAACUGGUCUGAGAGGAUGAUCAGUCACACUGGAACUGAGACACGGUCCAGACUCCUACGGGAGGCAGCAGUGGGGAAUAUUGGACAAUGGGCGAAAGCCUGAUCCAGCCAUGCCGCGUGUGUGAAGAAGGUCUUCGGAUUGUAAAGUACUUUAAGUUGGGAGGAAGGGCAGUAAGUUAAUACCUUGCUGUUUUGACGUUACCAACAGAAUAAGCACCGGCUAACUUCGUG